AAUAAAUUUAUUUUUAAAAAAAUAUAAGCCGAAAUUUAAAGUUUGGUUGCCCCAUUAAAGAAGCUCCCCACUUAAAAAAAUUUCUCUCUCCCUCUCUCUCUUCCCACGCUGCACGUCUCUUCUCUCUUUCCAGUACAUCACGCUCUUGCCUCUCUUCUCUUUUUAAAGCCAUAGUACAUACGUUCUCUUCCUCUAAAAUUUUCACUGACAUUAAGACUUCUGUCCCUUUUCCAAACCAACUCAAAAAGUAAUAAAAAACCAAAGCUUACCAAAAGAAAAACUUUGUAUAUUGCGCCUACGGCUCAACCUAAGCUAACUUGUUAGAGUUUGUGAUGAGUCCAAUAAGGUGGAGCACAUUUCCAUGAUCGAAAGGGGGUUGAUAUCACUAUCUCCAUCAGUGCCUGGUCUAUCCAAAGAGUUUGAUUCGAGAUUACUUCGACAAUAAUGAAAUUUCAUAGUAGAAAUGACCACAAGAAUUGAGUGAUUCGAUACCAAACUGCCAUUUAAAUUAUCAUCUAGAGAAUGGGCAAUUUAUAUCCUGACCUUUGUGGUGUAUCAUACGGGCCAAUUUAUUGUCAUCCCGACCAUUGUCCAAAAUCAGACAUAACCUUUUAGUAAACUUUUGACGCUCCCUUAGUGACUUACAUAAAAUAUUAGUAAUCCGAUCAGAGA
rnacentral:lncRNA from 1 species